AACUUUAAAGCUUUAUAGCAUUUCACUUACACUGAAAAGAUGAAAUAUUUCAAAAUAUA
rnacentral:tRNA from 1 species